GACGAACGCUGGCGGCGUGCCUAAUACAUGCAAGUCGAACGCAGUGGCGGACGGGUGAGUAACACGUGGGUAACCUACCCAUCAGAGGGGGAUAACACUUGGAAACAGGUGCUAAUACCGCAUACUGCAGGAGGGGAUUGCGUCUGAUUAGCUAGUUGGAGGGGUAACGGCCCACCAAGGCGAUGAUCAGUAGCCGUGCUGAGAGGAUGAACGGCCACAUUGGGACUGAGACACGGUCCAGACUCCUACGGGAGGCAGCAGUGGGGAAUAUUGGACAAUGGGCGAAAGCCUGAUCCAGCCAUGCCGCGUGUGUGAAGAAGGUCUUCGGAUUGUAAAGCACUUUAAGUUGGGAGGCGUUACCAACAGAAUAAGCACCGGCUAACUUCGUGCCAGCAGCCGCGGUAAUAC
rnacentral:rRNA from 1 species